rnacentral:rRNA from 1 species
UAAGCGCGAAACCCACCACAAGAUGAGAUUUCUUUUAAGGAUCGUGGAAGAUGACCACGUUGAUAGGCUAUAGAUGUAAAGGCAGUAAUGUCAUAGUCGAGUAGUACUAAUAAUCCGUAAGCUUAUGUACACCC